GAUCACAACAGAAAGAAUUUCAAAUCUGUACGGUGAAAGCUCAGCACCAAAGGUAAUUUAUUAUCUUUCAGUUUUUUUGUUUUUUUUUAUAUGCAUUUAUUUUUUAUCCAGCAUAUACUCUAAAAAAUCAUGACAACAUUUACAGGAAUGUGCAUGUAAAAGUAUAAAUACUGAGAACUGUGGUGAAUCGCUUCGCCCACACAGCAAAUGUGCAUAUUUCGUAAAUGUAAACAAAUACAAAUUUACGUUUAUCAUGUUUUCAAAACGCAUAAUGGAAUGUUAAACAUGCUGUAUGUGCUUUAAUUUGCAAAUAAUGUAAAAUCUGUGCAUAUUUAUAUACGUUUAUACAUUUUAAGUUCAUUGUGUUUUGUUUGUUUGUUUUUGUUUUUGAUCAUGUGCAGUCCCUUUAAAAAUGUUUUAAAGAAAAUCUGCAAUCUGAUAACAUAGUCCUCUCUCUGCCAACUGAUACUUCCAUGAUGUAGUCAUGAAUCUCUGGCCCAAUCCAAUGAAUUUCAUAUAGAAGCAUUGUGUCCAAUUCAAUGCUUCACAGAGAAGUAUUGAAUCCAUUGCUUCUCUAUGAGAAACAUUUGCUACAUUUAGCUUCUUAAUAUUGUGCACGACACUUCCGACUGUAAAGACAAUUGAAAAUCGAAGAUCUUGAAGGAUUAAGCCAUCUACUGAAUUUGUGGAUGACAGCAACCAAAGGCAUUUUUGCCAUUUAUCAGAAACAGCAAUGUUUUACACCGUAAGAUAAAAAGGACAGCAUCUAUGCACUAGGCAAACAAAAUUGGGAUUGCUGGUCCUGCUUCAGAGCACCCGUGGCCGCUUGGAUUGAGUGCGGCUCCUGGCACCAACCUUGCUAUAUAGCAUUUAUGCACUAGACUUGGAGACUUGUUUCUUUUUUUUAUUUAAUUUUUUUGUCCAUCUUUAUUUUUGUCAUGCAUGGAGUAACAACAAGCUUGCCAAACCACAACAGCAGUAACAAGCAAAUUAUAACCAGACAAGAGAAUAAUUGACAUGGCUUUCAAAUAAACUGCACAUUUUUCUGUUAUAUGAUUGGGUGAAGGAUGAAUAGUCAUUGAUGAGACAAACGAUAUGUAAUAAAAAAUCAGGCUAUACCGGUGGACUAUGCAAGUAAUGGAAACAUGAAUAAACAGGUGCAUUAAAUGCUAGACAGACUAGUGAGAUGGUUCUAUUAAGUAAACACAACAAAUCAAGCUAGAUAGAACUGUGUGCUUAAGACUUACUAAAAAUAACUUGUUAGACAUCUGUGGUCAGGCGUUAGUACAUGACUUAUCAAGGGUUAAACGACCAACAUACGUUGAAUAGGGCCUGUGUACGAGGAGACUAUCAUGCCUAUCUAACUCAGUGCACUGAGAUUAAUAAAUUCCACCAAGACCAAGCCUCAGUAAAUCCCCACGAUCUGUUAUGCCAUUGCUGCCUGUUGGAUAAGUAUUAUGCUGAGGGUGCUCCCUGGGUUGCUCUGUACUAGCGGCACUAUCUGGGGUGUUAUCAGCUUAUUGUGUGGGUAUGGUGGGUGGGGAGACACUGCUUAGUAUGUCGCACAUCUAUAACAUUUGGUGUGAAAAGUGUUGGUAUAAUAAGCCAGGAUCAUGUUAGUUAAAUGGAUCACUGAGAUCCAGCAUGCUGUCCCCCUCUCCUUCUAUUUAGUGCUCUGUGAGUGCAUUCCAGCUGUAUGGCAGAGAUAAUACGAGAAAAAAAACCAUAGAAUGUCCGCAGGUGUGUCAAAACAAUUUUCGAUUGCUGCAAUGAGGUUGUGUAAGAGAGGUAGCAGCUGGAAAUGUCCGCUUAGUGUCCACAGUCAACCAAUGCCUAGACUAGGCAGUGAAACCGCAGGGGGAUGGAGAAUACAGAUGGCAGUGGUGAUGCGUGGGCCGUGGGAGUCCCCACUCCAGCCCAGGCCUGUUUGAAGCGCCGCAUCUGUGGUCCACAGACCCGGGUACGCUGUGCUGCCGGGUCUUUCCCUUUGCAGGCGCUGCGGAAGGCCCCGAUGUUAUGCCGCCGCCUGUGGCGGGCGGUCUUCCGGCGUCGUGGGCAAUGCUGUGGAAGUAUACUCCACAUGGCCUUCAGCCUAGGUAGGCAGACAGCUUGGGUGGUGUGUGUGUCGAGCUGGAUUCUGCCCAAGUGAGGCACGCUUGGCCCUCUAUCACCAGCCUUCCUCACCUCCCUCACAGGCCAUGGUGACUGCGGUGUCAUAUGCUGUUCCAGCCAUUCCCAAAAUCGCUGUCCAGGAGUCAGAGGGAGCGCUCAUUGAUCUCACUGCCAGGAUCGGCAUGUAUAGGCGCUGAUCGUGGUGAGGCCUAGUUACUAGGCCCACCUUGUGCUGCUUGUGGAUUAUAGUGGGCAGUAAGAGUCUGAGAGUGAGCGUGGGUCUGAUCGGUGGGGACCAGGAUAACCCCCGCCGGUCCAUAGGGGUGGAAUUGGUGUCCCACCGAAGAUCUCUGAGCCGUCUCUCCCAUUCCAGCCAGGCUUGUAGGCUGCAGAGGUCGCGUGGACGGAACUAGCAAGAAAGUCUGCAUGUUUGGCAUCGAUAGGUAGGGCUUGCUGUCCCCCAGCACCUGGUAGUUGGCUUUGGGUCAAUAGUCGCUUGGUUUAGUGGGUAUUUGGCGACUGCUCCGAUCCGAGGUCAUGCCCCGCCCCCCUUGGAGACUUGUCUCUGUCCAAACUGCAGUUCAUCUGAUUUUGGGUCAAUUGGGUGAUCGGUUGAAUUCUCAAAAUCUAAGCCAAAAAUUUAUCCGAAUCACAAACCAACCGAAAUGCAUAAGGGCUCAGCAUGUUCAUUUCAGUGUGUGAUUCUGAAUGUCGGCUGUGGUGCCAAAAAUGGUUGUUGGCUAGGGAACAGUCACCAAACAUUUAUUUUAUUCACUGAUCAAGUGAAAACUAAGCAAUUGAGGAAAAAAAAGGGAUGACUGUAAAUAUCUAUAUUAUAAUAAAUUAUUUUGUUUUAUAUAAAUUUGUAAAAAAAAAUUUACUGCCCCUACUGUUUUUUCUUCAAUGUUUACUUUUUCUCACUUUCAUGAACACAAUGGUGGGAAAAUGCUCCUAUUAUUAUACUGCAAAAUAUAUGCAUAAAAUUAUAGUAUGUGUUAUUCUGCUGUACACUGACUGGCCCAUUUUUUAGCCACUUUUGCUUGCCUGAUUUUGUUUACAAAUCGAUUAUUUGUGGUACCGUAAUUCUCCAGAGCCAAACCAACAUUCUGCUGACAUACAGAUGGACGAAAAGAUUUCUGGUUUUACUAUGCACCAAAAACCAGUUAAUUAAAAUGAAGUAGUUUUGGUGUUAAGAGUGUACCUUUAAUUCCCAUAGAAUUAACAUGGAAGCUCUUUGGUUGAAUUUUAGUUUUGGAAAUAACAUUUUAUUUUUUCCCCAGAUAUCUUCUGCCUGAAAUAAUCAAGACAGGCAGGGCCCUCAUUAUCUGAUUGAAAUGUUUAGGCCUCUUUGACUCAGACUCUGACUACACGUGCCAUCAUUAGCCAACAUUGUAUCAACUUCGACUAUGGUUCUAUCUUAGCGACAGAUUUUUUUAGUCAUUGUAUAAUGCAUUGAAAAUAUCAAAACAAAUAAUGAAAACAAUUAAUUUCCCAGUUCCUUCCUACAUUUCAAGUCAAGGUGAACUGGUCAAAGGGAGGUUUACAGGUGGUCAGCACAACCUAAAAAUAUAUAUUUUUUAUUUUUCCAUGCAGUUUUAUGGAGAAAGUGUUGCAUGUGCGGGGCGAGCUUUAAGAAAUGCAUUGAGAAGUCAAGCUCCUGAUCUGAUUCGGGAUCGCAUGUAUCUCACUUGUAUCUGCAGGUAAGUCAUUUCAUGCAUUGUUGUUAUGUUGCGCUUCUUGUGUUCAGUCUCAUGGGAAUAAUGUACAAUAUUAUUAAAGGAAGUGGAGACAAUAUAAUAUUAAUUCACCCUUGAUGAUUAAAGGGUUUAUAGAGUAUCCCUCUCAGCAUGGACUCUAUGGGCUCCUUGCUAAACAAAUAAACCAUACUUUAUGGACUCCUUGCUAAACAAUUGGCCAAGCUCCCAAAAUGCACACUAGCAGAAACAAACGUGCACGCACACAUUAUUAUUAUUAUUAUUAUUUUUAUAUAGCGCCAACAAAUUCCAUAGUGAUUUACAACGGGUGGACUAACAAACAUGAAAUUAAAACCAGACAAGUUUGACGCACAGAAACAGAGGGGUUGAGGGCCCUGCUCAAUGAGCUUACAUGCUAGAGGGAGAUUUUAAAAAGAAACUUAUUUCUAUUUUUUAAAUGACCGUUGCAGGAGAGGAAUCAGUUGGGAGCCAUUAACAGUUUAAUUGAUAUGCUUUUGUGAAAAACUGAGUUUUUAAUGAUUUUUUGAAGGAGUGGAGACAGGGUGAAUGUCUAACGGAAAGGGGAAGGGAGUUCCACAGGAACAGUGCAGCCCUAGAAAAGUCUUAAAGGCGAGCAUCUGAGGUGGGAGUACGGACAGAGGAUAGACGUAGGUCUUUGGCAGAGCAUAGGGACCCAGGCGGACAUACUUGUGUAUUAAGGAGGAUAGAUAGGUGGGAGUAGCAUUAUCACACAAUUACACAUAUACAUACCGCACAUGCACUAAUACACACAGCCACACACACACACACAAGUGCACAUGAAUGUACACACUUUGACAUAUAUGCAUACUGACACACACAGAUGCACACAGAAAAACUUAUACACACAGCCAUAUAGACAGAUUUACACACUGCCACAUAUAACACACAUAAGUGCACAAACAUAUACACUGCUACACAAAUACAUGCUGACACCCACAUAAUACAAAUACACAAGCAUAUACUGCCAAACAGAUGCACAAUUCAACACACAUAGAUAAAGACACACACGCUGCAUUAUACAAAUAAAGUUUGCCACACACACACAUAUAUGAGGCUCUGUUUUAGCUACCCUCGUCUUUGUUAACUUUAGUGUUAACUUUAGUGGCUUCCUUUUGCACUGGAAGGAAGUGAUGUGACAUCUCUUCCUCCUAGCACUGCUGCGCAAGAGCGCAAUGGGGGCUGUCAAUAGGUAUACCUCCCCAACUAAACUGCAUAGCCCUAGUGGGCCCCAAGGAACAGCCAGGCAUUAAAUAGGAGUAUUGACUGUCGCGAUAUGAUGGCCACCCUGCCUGCAAGCGGUAACUGAUCCAUCUGAUAUUGUUCAAUAUUGCAACUUAUUAUAUAUUGUGCAAUGUGCUAUUCUGUUCAUCAGCCUAAUAUUGCUCAAGAAAUACUUUAAUUUAGAUUUUAAUCUUGUAGGCAGGGCUCUCAAUACCAAUAAUACCGGUUUCUUCAUGUCUUUCAAACAAAGAAUUAAUUUUGAUUGCUUUUAGUAUUGUAUUAAUUGCGGCAGAAUUUGUUGGUGCAACAUAAAUGAUAAUUAGAAAUAAAUAUUGAAUGGCAAAUAUGUAACAUCUUUCCAGCAAUUUUAAUGAUUUCUCUCAUUUCUUUUUUACUUUUUCUUAUGGAUUUAAAGAAAAAGUUGUGUGGGGUCCGAACUGGUUGACUGGCUUUUGCAGCAGUGCCCCUUUGUUCAGUGCAGAUAUACAGCAGCUGGCAUCUGGCAAACUUUAUUGAAACUUGGGAUACUCCUUUCAGGUUAGUUUACUUCCAGGAAGUUCGAAUGUGUGCAAACUGUUAAACAUUUUUUUUUUCUUUUUCUGAAAGUUGAGCAACAUGGUGUCAGUGAAUGUAAGGUCAGCUUUGUAUAAAAGUAAGGGCAGACAAAUACAGAAUAUUCAGCUGUUAAUGGACUACAACUGCCAUAAACCUUCAACAGCACAAAACAUGGUGUCUUGGGCCGGGGUGCCCAAUAGGAAGAUCCUCAGAUGUUGCAGGACUACAACUCCCAUGAUGCUUUGCAUGUCUUUAGAAUGACAAAGCAUCAUGGAAUCUGUAGUUUUAUAACAUCUAAGGUCUACCUUUUGGGCACACCUGGUCUAGUGUGAGUUCACAUGUGUUUAUGUAGUCUGGUGGAGAUCAGGUAUUGACUUAUCUCUGUUUUAAUGUCCAGAGAGUUCUAAUUCUUUAUUGAGACUGAAAUAAUUCCGCUUGCAAUUAUAUUUGUGCUUGAUGGUUAUAUGGUAGCAGUCCAUGAAAUUUUAUAAAAACAUACUGUAUUAAAGCAAUCGCCUAAAUGUAUGAUGGAUGCCUAUGCGUGCCUUCUUUAUAUACAGGAGCAGUAUAAAUGUUAUUAUUUCCUGAAUUCCUCAGCUAAUCUUUUGCAGAGCUUGUAUGUACUUGGCAUAUUUCUCAAUUCAUAUGAUAUUCCUCAACCUGUGUUUUCAUGUAAACCUAUUAGAAUUCAGACUGCUAGACAAUUCAAUGUGAUGGUUGCAAUUUGUAAAAAUGGAAUAGCUAUUUUUUGUUUUGAUUUGAAAAAAUGUAAAGUAAUAAUAAAAUUCACAAAUAAACAAAAUAAAAGUCAAUUUUGGUGGCUGACACACUUGACAAAAUAUCAGAGCAUGUACUAUGCAGACAGAUGGUUUUAUCCCAUUUGCAUUGGGGCCAUUUGGACUUUAUUGAAUAACCCAGAAAGUCUCUUUUCUAUGAGAAAUCCAAUAUUUAAAUAGCUAAGACAAAUUGCAACCUGACUAUUUGCAUAGGAACUUAUGAUAAUUAAUCUAAACUGAUGGAUUUGAUUGUUCUAACGAUUUUUCAUUGUUGGAUUCCUUAUAAAAGAGUUCUUUCCUGAGAUACUGGCUAAAAUGUGUUAAUUACAACCAUUCUAGGAUACUGCACUUGUCAUUGUGCGAGUUUGCACAGACUCCCUUUUAAUAUACACCUUUGAGAAAAAAAUACAUCUGUUUGAAGAACCUCUUACAGGCUACAAGGGAUAUAGAAUCUAUUUGGUAUGCAUAAGAAAGAUAUUAAUACACAGUACCAGGGUGUCCAGCUGGUGAGUUAUGGGAUACCUAAUCCAGCGACACUUGGAGUACCAAAUAUUGAUAACUGCUUCAAAUAAUGCCACCAGGUCAUAUUUACUUUGCAGGUAUAUUAUAGGACGCAUUACAAGUUGGGACACAUUGAUGAGCAACAUACAGAAAGUGCUGCCCUACAGUAUGUAGAAGUCAAAUAUUGCAGGUAGUUAAUCAGGUGAUGAAUCAAUCCAGAAUCCUUCAGCAUAUACAUUAUCCAGAACUCAGGGCAGUAUUUUCAUGUGCCGCCAAUCAACACAAUGAAAUUAUAUGUGUCCAGAAAAACAUGGCGGAUAUGACAACCCUAAUUAUAAGCAUUAGGUAACGCAUAUAAUAAAUAUACAUCCAAAACGCUGUUUAAUAUGAUUUUGGCUACAAAAAGGGCAGGCAUAUGAAAAUUCUGCAACUCCCCACACCCAAUUUUGCUAAAAUGCAACUCCCAUGAUUCUCUUUUCAUCUUUUGCAUUUAAAGAAUUACACUUGAUGUAGGCCAUUAAUAUCUGGGUAGCCAGUAGGUUUGAUUCCUGCUCUACAGUUAUUUUGUUCCGUAUCAUAUGCGACAUAAUAGUUAUUGAAAAACCAAAGAAAAUAAAUGGAAAUAUGUCAUAAAAAGGUGCUUCAACACAACAAUAUAUAGUAUGUAUUAGAUGCAGCCGCUCUUGAAUUGUAGUUCUCUAAGAGCAAUCCAAAUAAUCAAUGUGUAAUUUGAAAUUAUAGAUAUUGCUCACAUUUGGAUGAGAAAAUAUGGCAUUUACAUAAAAAAAAAAAAAACUGAUAUUCUUUUUUUACUCCCACUGCAGUGGACAAGCAGCUAUGCUUUCAGGAUGCGUAUGUGUUCUACCAGUUUUCGUCUUCUGAUUGCCCUGAGGCAGUGUGUGAGUUUGGAAAAGAAAAAGGGUGGAACAUGGGUGUCCGACUUUUAAAACAGCUUGCGCCUCUUGCUCCAUUAACAUCGAAUAUAUGUGACAUGU